ensembl:snoRNA SNORD36 Small nucleolar RNA SNORD36
UUGCGAUGAUGUAUGAAUUUCUUCACCUGAAUCAAUAAUGAAGAGCAAAACGAGCUUUUUAACACUGAGCAAU